rnacentral:tRNA from 1 species
CCUUCGAUAGCUCAGUUGGUAGAGCGGGGACUGUAGAUCCCUAGGUCACUGGUUCAAAUCUGGUUCGAAGGA